rnacentral:rRNA from 1 species
CACGUAGGGGGCAAGCGUUGUCCGGAUUUAUUGGGCGUAAAGAGCUCGUAGGCGGCUCGGUAAGUCAGGUGUGAAACCUCUGGGCUCAACCCAGAGAGGCCACCUGAUACUGCUGUGGCUAGAGUCCGGUAGGGGAGCGUGGAAUUCCUGGUGUAGCGGUGAAAUGCGCAGAUAUCAGGAGGAACACCAGCGGCGAAGGCGGCGCUCUGGGCCGGAACUGACGCUGAGGAGCGAAAGCGUGGGGAGCGAACAGG